rnacentral:rRNA from 1 species
CCUACGGGGGGCAGCAGUGAGGAAUAUUGGUCAAUGGACGAGAGUCUGAACCAGCCAAGUAGCGUGAAGGAUGACUGCCCUAUGGGUUGUAAACUUCUUUUAUAUGGGAAUAAAACGUUCCACGUGUGGGAUUUUGUAUGUACCAUAUGAAUAAGGAUCGGCUAAUUCCGUGCCAGCAGCCGCGGUAAUACGGAGGAUCCGAGCGUUAUCCGGAUUUAUUGGGUUUAAAGGGAGCGUAGGUGGAUUGUUAAGUCAGUUGUGAAAUUUUGCGGCUCAACCGUAACAUUGCAGUUGAAACUGGCAGUCUUGAGUCCACUGGAGGUAGGCGGAAUUCGUGGUGUAGCGGUGAAAUGCUUAGAUAUCACGAAGAACCCCGAUUGCGAAGGCAGUUCACUGCACUGCAACUGACACUGAGGCUCGAAAGUGUGGGUAUCGAACAGGAUUAGAUACCCCUGUAGUC